rnacentral:misc_RNA from 1 species
UACGGAGGAUGCGAGCGUUAUCCGGAUUUAUUGGGUUUAAAGGGUGCGUAGGUGGUCUGUUAAGUCAGUUGUGAAAGUUUGCGGCUCAACCGUAAAAUUGCAAUUGAAACUGCCAGACUUGAGUGUAUUUGAGGUGGGCGGAAUUCGUAGUGUAGCGGUGAAAUGCUUAGAUAUUACGAAGAACUCCGAUUGCGUAGGCAGCUCACUAAACUACAACUGACACUGAGGCACGAAAGUGUGGGUAUCAAACAGG